GGAAGUGGAUUGGGUCUGGUGAUCUGCCUGGUCUUCAAAACCAGUGGGACGUUGCCUUUCGGCAGGGUUCGGUGGGUUCGAUUCCCACACACUUCCGCCA
rnacentral:tRNA from 1 species